GCUUACGGUCAUACCACCCUGUCUGUGCUCGAUCUUGUCUGAUAUUGGAAGCUAAGCAGGGUCGGACCUGGUUAGUACUUGGAUGGGAGACCGCCUGGGAAUACCAGGUGCUGUAAGCU
rnacentral:rRNA from 1 species